rnacentral:misc_RNA from 1 species
ACGAGUUUUGAAACGAGUUGUAGCUGGCCUUCCGAGGCAUGUGCACGCUCUGCUCAUCCACUCUACCCCUGUGCACUUACUGUAGGUUGGCGUGGGCUCCUUAACGGGAGCAUUCUGCCGGCCUAUGUAUACUACAAACACUUUAAAGUAUCAGAAUGUAAACGCGUCUAACGCAUCUAUAAUA